AUAUGUCAUUAUUUCAUGUCUAUGCUAUAACGGCCAUGUAUGUUGAUCUUCUGUGUUUGUUUAUUGAAGUCCUUUUGAUUGGAGCUCUAUCAUCUGUGUGUGUUUCCCACAACCAUGCACUGUGACAGCUGGGUUGAUUUAACCCAAUUUUGGGUUGAAAAUCAUUCUUAUCUAUAAGUUACCCAACAGUGCUGGGUUCAUAACACAGAUGUGAAAGAGAGCAUGCAUGUCACGUUAACAACACGGACGACCCCAAUGCGAGAAGCCGUCAUUUUCUCAGCGUCUUCAGGCGGAAACGAGUGAAAGAUGGUUUAUGGCUGAAAAAGUCAGAAAAAAAGCAUAUAUGGAAAUUUUUGCUGUUUUCGCCUCAUUUGUCUCGUCUUAAAGGCCUCUUUUAUUGAAUGGAAGAGACUCUUUAAUACAGUGGGUUUCUUGUGUCAUAUUUACAAAAAGAUGAUUUAUGAUGUGCCAAGCCAGAGACCUAAGGAGUGCUUCAUUCUUUUGAGUUUAUUUUUAGAUUUUUAGGUGGUGACAGGGAUGAAUGAUGGUCAAAAAAGGGAAUGGCCUUCCCCAAUGGAGAUCAUUGAUGUGACAGUGCUUUUAAAAGAGAAGAUUGUCCUGGAUAAUUUAAAGGAUGCUGCAUGCCUUUGCUGUGCUGAUGGAGCUUCUUCAUGACUGAACAUCAGUUAUCCUAAGAAGGUCAUGAAAAUUGGCAGUGAAGCAUAUUCUGUAUGUAUUCAUGGACUCCAUGAACUUUUAGCACAUAAUCUGUAAUUAAAAAAUGUUCAGUGCCUUUUCAUUGUUUAGUGGAGGAAUUCACACUCUCUCAUUCACACUCGCAUUCUUUCACAUGUAUACUUGUCUUAAUAAAUUCAAUACGUUUUGCAAAUGUUAUAAUGUCAAUGUUAAUAUUGUUUUUUUUUUUUUUUUUU